rnacentral:lncRNA from 1 species
ACAGGAGUUGAUGCGAGUUGACAAAAAGGUUCUCACAUUACACUUUCACCAUUCUUGGUUUAAUUUAGUUUCAGAGAACCCAGAACAAUAGCACAGCACAACUGUCUAUUAGAUUGUGAAAACACUUGCAGCUAUCAUCCUCUUCUGGUGUGCAGUAACACUUCUACUGGCUAUGCCUUGGUAUAUAAGUGAACGGGUAGGUCAGAGUUCCUAAAUAAACAAUAGAAAGAGAUGUUUAUUAGAGUACUACAUAUAUUUGAAUACUUGAAAACUAAAUUAACAACUGGACCCUUGUUUAAAUUCAGAAAUGUCAGGGAUGUACACAAAGCAAAACAAUCUAUAAUUCAAAUCAUGAUCUUAGUUACGACAAGAUGUCAUUAUUUUGGCAUAUAACAUAACGUAACAUAGACUAUCUGUGCAUGACUAAGCAAUUAGUUCUAUGGUGAUUUUGUAGUCAUUCCCACUGUGCUAUGGCCUGACACACUGUCACAGAACAAUCUUCAUUCUUUAAAGAUUUAACAGAGACACUCAACUGCUUUGUAAGAGUGCAGAUGAGGUUUGUUGUAAUCUUAUACCUUCACCUUCAAAGUCGAUGAUCUACACUACAACUCCAUUCAUGUUCAACUACACUUCAACCUACAGUUUACAACCUCAACUCUACAUUAACCACCAUUUCAGGUUAGAAUCAUCAUCCUCAAAGUUCCAUCAAUCUUUGGUACAUUUUUUAACCUAACAAAAAUCUUUAAGUUAUCAUCUAACAUCGAUCAGUUGAACAAAUCUCCUACAUGUUUCUGUCCAUUAUCACAAAAGCAAUGGUUAGUUAAACCUUAAAGUUAUCAUCUACAUUAUAUGCCUAUUUCCUGCAGAGAACGAUCACGAAUCCAACUGAUUAUUCAUCAUUGUAGAAAGUUAAUGCAAGACAAGGAGGAUCAACCUCCAAGGCAAUUAAAAAAGAAUACUAGGUGAACACAUUCGAUAAGUAUUAAAAAGCCCAGGAUGCACAUAACUUCAGAAACUGAGAAACAUAGGCAGUGUACCUUAGAACAUCAACACAACCAGCAAAGAGUCACUAAGGACCUUGAGCAUACAACAAGGUCUCUAUUCCAUUAUAAACCAUAAGGCUAUCCAUAAUUUUCCUACUCAAUGGAGGGGAAGUGGCCUUUAUUCAUGAAGCAAUCCUCUAGAUACAGUAGAAGGAAGAACAUAUUGUGAAUAUCAUAUAACAUAUCUUAACAUCAUCAAUUAGGUAAAGCUAAUCCAUAGAAGAAAAACUCAGCAUGAAUAUUAAAUAACAUGUUACAGUGUCAUCAAUUAGGUAGAGCUAACACAUAGAAUUUUGUCAACAAGUGAAUUGGAUAAUAAUAAAAAACAAGAUAUGAUUAGAAACUAAUGCAAAGAAAACUUGAAUGCAGGCAUAAAGGAAAUUUUAAGUAGGAAAAAGGAAUCAUCCUAGAGAUCAUUAUCAUUAUGUAAAACAUUUCAGCCAAAGUGCUAUAAGAUGCGCUAUAUAGAAGCUUGAAGCUCAACAAGCUCAUC